rfam:Oryza meridionalis cultivar OR44 (W2112) chromosome 5, whole genome shotgun sequence.
AAUAAGUGUAGUUUUGCACUAUUCAUGUCUAACGUUUGACCGUUCGUCUUUUUUAAAAAAAAUAUGAUUAGUAUUUCUAUUGCUAUUAGAUGAUAAAACAUGAAUAGCACUUUAUGUGUGACUAAUUUUUUAAAAGAAUUCACAAAUAUUUUAAAUAAGACGGACGGUCAAACGUUGGACAUAGAUAUCCACAAUUACACUUAUU